GCGUUUAAUUUUGCUUUUUUUUUUCAACUUUUAGGGUUUAGAAGAUAGAAGCAUAACCAAAAACCCAUCAUAGGUGGUCGCUUCCACCUCUAAUGGUUCAAUUUGUGGCUUCAAAUCGGUUCUCCACCUCCUUCCUUCUUUUCUCCUUGCUGACACUUUCCAGCAUGAAAUCGUCCCUGCUGAGCUAAUUGAUCGCAUUGCUUCACUCGGGUCAUCUGCAAACCUCUGCAAGUAAAAGCAGUGUGUUAGAGGAAGAAAGAGUAGAGAGGAGCAGCAAUGGAGUUCGUCAGCCCAGAAGGCCUCCGCCUAGCCGGUCAUCGUCCCUUGGAGAUGAGGCAGCUUCGCGCUGAAAUUGGCGCCGUCU